rnacentral:rRNA from 1 species
UACGUAGGGCGCAAGCGUUAUCCGGAAUUAUUGGGCGUAAAGAGCUCGUAGGCGGUUUGUCGCGUCUGCCGUGAAAGUCCGGGGCUCAACUCCGGAUCUGCGGUGGGUACGGGCAGACUAGAGUGAUGUAGGGGGAGACUGGAAUUCCUGGUGUAGCGGUGAAAUGCGCAGAUAUCGGGAGGAACACCAGUAGCGAAGGCGGCACUCUGGGCCGGUACUGACGCUGAUGCGCGAAAGCGUGGGGAGCGAACAGG